GACGAACGCUGGCGGCGUGCCUAAUACAUGCAAGUUGAGCGAUGAAGAUUGGUGCUUGCACCAAUUUGAAGAGCAGCGAACGGGUGAGUAACGCGUGGGGAAUCUGCCUUUGAGCGGGGGACAACAUUUGGAAACGAAUGCUAAUACCGCAUAAUAACUUUAAACAUAAGUUUUAAGUUUGAAAGAUGCAAUUGCAUCACUCAAAGAUGAUCCCGCGUUGUAUUAGCUAGUUGGUGAGGUAAAGGCUCACCAAGGCGAUGAUACAUAGCCGACCUGAGAGGGUGAUCGGCCACAGUGGGACUGAGACACGGCCCAAACUCCUACGGGAGGCAGCAGUAGGGAAUCUUCGGCAAUGGACGAAAGUCUGACCGAGCAACGCCGCGUGAGUGAAGAAGGUUUUCGGAUCGUAAAGCUCUGUUGGUAGAGAAGAACGUUGGUGAGAGUGGAAAGCUCAUCAAGUGACGGUAACUACCCAGAAAGGGACGGCUAACUACGUG
rnacentral:rRNA from 1 species